UCCCUGGUGGCUCAGACGGUGAAGCAUCUGCCUAAAAUGCAGGAGAUCCGGGUUUGAUUCCUGGGUUGGGAA
rnacentral:tRNA from 1 species